rnacentral:rRNA from 1 species
GCAAUGGACGAAAGUCUGACCGAGCAACGCCGCGUGAGUGAAGAAGGUUUUCGGAUCGUAAAGCUCUGUUGUAAGUCAAGAACGUGUGUGAGAGUGGAAAGCUCACACAGUGACGGUAGCUUACCAGAAAGGGACGGCUAACUACGUGCCAGCAGCCGCGGUAAUACGUAGGUCCCGAGCGUUGUCCGGAUUUAUUGGGCGUAAAGGGAGCGCAGGCGAUCAGGAAAGUCUGGAGUAAAAGGCUAUGGCUCAACCAUAGUGUGCUCUGGAAACUGUCUGACUUGAGUGCAGAAGGGGAGAGUGGAAUUCCAUGUGUAGCGGUGAAAUGCGUAGAUAUAUGGAGGAACACCAGUGGCGAAAGCGGCUCUCUGGUCUGUCACUGACGCUGAGGCUCGAAAGCGUGGGUAGCGAACAGGAUUAGAUACCCUGGUAGUCCACGCCGUAAACGAUGAGUGCUAGGUGUUAGGCCCUUUCCGGGGCUUAGUGCCGGAGCUAACGCAAUAAGCACUCCGCCUGGGGAGUACGACCGCAAGGUUGAAACUCAAAGGAAUUGACGGGGGCCCGCACAAGCGGUGGAGCAUGUGGUUUAAUUCGAAGC